UACGAAGGUGGCUAGCGUUGUUCGGAUUUACUGGGCGUAAAGGGAGCGUAGGCGGUUUUUUCAAGUCAGGCGUGAAAGCCCGAGGCUUAACCUCGGAAUUGCGCUUGAAACUGAUUGACUGGAGUAUGGGAGAGGAUAGCGGAAUUCCUAGUGUAGAGGUGAAAUUCGUAGAUAUUAGGAAGAACACCGGUGGCGAAGGCGGCUAUCUGGACCAUAACUGACGCUGAAGCUCGAAAGCAUGGGGAUCAAACAGGAUUAGAAACCCUUGUAGU
rnacentral:rRNA from 1 species